rnacentral:rRNA from 1 species
GGUUAAGCGACUAAGCGUACACGGUGGAUGCCCUGGCAGUCAGAGGCGAUGAAGGACGUGCUAAUCUGCGAUAAGCGUCGGUAAGGUGAUAUGAACCGUUAUAACCGGCGAUUUCCGAAUGGGGAAACCCAGUGUGAUUCGUCACACUAUCAUUAACUGAAUCCAUAGGUUAAUGAGGCGAACCGGGGGAACUGAAACAUCUAAGUACCCCGAGGAAAAGAAAUCAACCGAGAUUCCCCCAGUAGCGGCGAGCGAACGGGGAGGAGCCCAGAGCCUGAAUCAGUGUGUGUGUUAGUGGAAGCGUCUGGAAAGGCGCGCGAUACAGGGUGACAGCCCCGUACACAAAAAUGCACAUACUGUGAGCUCGAUGAGUAGGGCGGGACACGUGGUAUCCUGUCUGAAUAUGGGGGGACCAUCCUCCAAGGCUAAAUACUCCUGACUGACCGAUAGUGAACCAGUACCGUGAGGGAAAGGCGAAAAGAACCCCGGCGAGGGGAGUGAAAAAGAACCUGAAACCGUGUACGUACAAGCAGUGGGAGCCUCUUUAUGGGGUGACUGCGUACCUUUUGUAUAAUGGGUCAGCGACUUAUAUUCUGUAGCAAGGUUAACCGAAUAGGGGAGCCGAAGGGAAACCGAGUCUUAACUGGGCGUUAAGUUGCAGGGUAUAGACCCGAAACCCGGUGAUCUAGCCAUGGGCAGGUUGAAGGUUGGGUAACACUAACUGGAGGACCGAACCGACUAAUGUUGAAAAAUUAGCGGAUGACUUGUGGCUGGGGGUGAAAGGCCAAUCAAACCGGGAGAUAGCUGGUUCUCCCCGAAAGCUAUUUAGGUAGCGCCUCGUGAAUUCAUCUCCGGGGGUAGAGCACUGUUUCGGCAAGGGGGUCAUCCCGACUUACCAACCCGAUGCAAACUGCGAAUACCGGAGAAUGUUAUCACGGGAGACACACGGCGGGUGCUAACGUCCGUCGUGAAGAGGGAAACAACCCAGACCGCCAGCUAAGGUCCCAAAGUCAUGGUUAAGUGGGAAACGAUGUGGGAAGGCCCAGACAGCCAGGAUGUUGGCUUAGAAGCAGCCAUCAUUUAAAGAAAGCGUAAUAGCUCACUGGUCGAGUCGGCCUGCGCGGAAGAUGUAACGGGGCUAAACCAUGCACCGAAGCUGCGGCAGCGACGCUUAUGCGUUGUUGGGUAGGGGAGCGUUCUGUAAGCCUGCGAAGGUGUGCUGUGAGGCAUGCUGGAGGUAUCAGAAGUGCGAAUGCUGACAUAAGUAACGAUAAAGCGGGUGAAAAGCCCGCUCGCCGGAAGACCAAGGGUUCCUGUCCAACGUUAAUCGGGGCAGGGUGAGUCGACCCCUAAGGCGAGGCCGAAAGGCGUAGUCGAUGGGAAACAGGUUAAUAUUCCUGUACUUGGUGUUACUGCGAAGGGGGGACGGAGAAGGCUAUGUUGGCCGGGCGACGGUUGUCCCGGUUUAAGCGUGUAGGCUGGUUUUCCAGGCAAAUCCGGAAAAUCAAGGCUGAGGCGUGAUGACGAGGCACUACGGUGCUGAAGCAACAAAUGCCCUGCUUCCAGGAAAAGCCUCUAAGCAUCAGGUAACAUCAAAUCGUACCCCAAACCGACACAGGUGGUCAGGUAGAGAAUACCAAGGCGCUUGAGAGAACUCGGGUGAAGGAACUAGGCAAAAUGGUGCCGUAACUUCGGGAGAAGGCACGCUGAUAUGUAGGUGAAGCGACUUGCUCGUGGAGCUGAAAUCAGUCGAAGAUACCAGCUGGCUGCAACUGUUUAUUAAAAACACAGCACUGUGCAAACACGAAAGUGGACGUAUACGGUGUGACGCCUGCCCGGUGCCGGAAGGUUAAUUGAUGGGGUUAGCGGUAACGCGAAGCUCUUGAUCGAAGCCCCGGUAAACGGCGGCCGUAACUAUAACGGUCCUAAGGUAGCGAAAUUCCUUGUCGGGUAAGUUCCGACCUGCACGAAUGGCGUAAUGAUGGCCAGGCUGUCUCCACCCGAGACUCAGUGAAAUUGAACUCGCUGUGAAGAUGCAGUGUACCCGCGGCAAGACGGAAAGACCCCGUGAACCUUUACUAUAGCUUGACACUGAACAUUGAGCCUUGAUGUGUAGGAUAGGUGGGAGGCUUUGAAGUGUGG